rnacentral:rRNA from 1 species
UACGUAGGGCGCGAGCGUUGUCCGGAAUUAUUGGGCGUAAAGAGCUCGUAGGCGGCUUGUUGCGUCUGCUGUGAAAUCCCAGGGCUUAACCCCGGGCGUGCAGUGGAUACGGGCAGGCUGGAGGCAGGCAGGGGAGAAUGGAAUUCCCGGUGUAGCGGUGAAAUGCGCAGAUAUCGGGAGGAACACCGGUGGCGAAGGCGGUUCUCUGGGCCUGUUCUGACGCUGAGGAGCGAAAGCGUGGGGAGCGAACAGG